rnacentral:rRNA from 1 species
ACAAUUUUCGACCACGGAGCUCGUGGUUCUCCCCUCGAUGAAGAACGCAGCU